CUGCAGCCCGAGUGGUGACCGAUAUUAUUGAGCCUAAAGCGUCCGUAGCCGGUCUGGUAAAUUUUUGGGUAAAUCGGGCAGCUCAACUGUCCGAAUUCCGAGGAGACUGCCAGACUUGGGACCGGGAGAGGUCAGAGGUACUCAAGGGGUAGGAGCUAAAUCCUGUAAUCCUUUGGGGACCACCAGUGGCGAAGGCGUCUGACUAGAACGGAUCCGACGGUGAGGGACGAAAGCCAGGGGCGCAAACCGGAUUAGAUACCCGAGUAGUCC
rnacentral:rRNA from 1 species